AUGCCCUAUUAUUCACUUCACACAGUAAUAGAUGCCCACAUAUUUGGGCAACACAUCACUAAUGCAGAUAGAAUAGUCUGUUUGGUUGACCUCUGUAUUUUCUACUUCAUUUACUCAGGGGCAGCAACUUCCAUUGAAAUUGUAGACAAGUUGUCAUUCUGGAUACUCUCCCUAAACCACAAGACAGGUCCUACUGGGGAACGAGCAGAUACGUGGCAGCCCAGGGUUAAGGUCUCUCCACUUCUGACUGAAACUGGAUUCUCAGGGUGCUGCUUCUGGGGGAGAAGCCGUGCGACUUGCAGGUGAAGCUCAUUGUCUGCCAGACACCAUGCGGGGAGAGAGUUUGGCUACAAGAGGAGCAUCAAUGAACAGUAAGCAUGACUGUGGUCAUCAGCACUAACCAUACGUGUGUGACACUGUGGAGAAG
rnacentral:lncRNA from 1 species